rnacentral:rRNA from 1 species
UCGGGAGGCAGCAGUGGGGAAUCUUAGACAAUGGGGGCAACCCUGAUCUAGCCAUGCCGCGUGAGUGAUGAAGGCCUUAGGGUCGUAAAGCUCUUUCGCCUGUGAUGAUAAUGACAGUAGCAGGUAAAGAAACCCCGGCUAACUCCGUGCCAGCAGCCGCGGUAAUACGGAGGGGGUUAGCGUUGUUCGGAAUUACUGGGCGUAAAGCGCGCGUAGGCGGAUUAGAAAGUUGGGGGUGAAAUCCCGGGGCUCAACCCCGGAACUGCCUCCAAAACUGCUAGUCUAGAGUUCGAGAGAGGUGAGUGGAAUUCCGAGUGUAGAGGUGAAAUUCGUAGAUAUUCGGAGGAACACCAGUGGCGAAGGCGGCUCACUGGCUCGAUACUGACGCUGAGGUGCGAAAGUGUGGGGAGCAAACAGGAUUAGAUACCCUGGUAGUCCACACCGUAAACGAUGAAUGCCAGUCGUCGGGUACUAUACUAUUCGGUGACACACCUAACGGAUUAAGCAUUCCGCCUGGGGAGUACGGUCGCAAGAUUAAAACUCAAAUGAAUUGACGG